GAGGGAGACUCUCUGUCUCCUAACUAUCUUACUGUCUCUUCUCUCCAGUGGUGUGGAGUUCCCAGCCAAACAUCAGCCAUGAAGAUUCUUUACCUUCUUUCUGUUGUCCUCUUCUUUGUGCUGCAGAUUAUCCCAGGAUUUACCUAUAGUCUUGGUGCCACCAUGCGAUGUCUACAAAAUGGGGGUAGAUGCUACCCUUGGCAAUGUCCCGCAAAUACUUAUAACAUUGGACGCUGCUGUUCUUGGCGCCUUUGCUGCAGGAGGUAUUAAAAGUGUGCAAUGGCAUCACUUGUCCAUGCAGGAUCUCUGGGAGACGAUGUCUUGCUUCUGAAAUCAUCGGAUCUUUUUCAUUGGUCUCCCAAGAAUCUUGUGAGCGGCAGAAAAUCCACAAGGGACCCCAGUAUCAUCCAUGAUGUUGUGUUAUUUUCCUAUUAAUAAAAGUAACGGGUUGUGGUGGUGUGUUGCUGAAA